UCAGCACUAUGCACGGCCUCCAGCAAGACUAUAAACACUAGAAACUACUUGCAACUCCUGGACCGAGUACUAAGCGAUUAAUAGGCCGAGCGGGGUCAUAUUUCACGGCCAAGCAAGUGGUAGUAUCUAGUCUUGGAUUACAUACACGGAACUCAGUUCCUAAGGACGGUUCCAAUGAAACAACCCGCCAUGUACUCCUACACAGCCUUUCACCGGUACGUUUACCAAAUCAUGUUCAACACACAACCUUUGUUUACCGAACACAUUCUCACAAUUCUGUUC
rnacentral:lncRNA from 1 species